CUGCGAGAGUGGCUGGGGCGACUGGAGGCUGCAGUGAUGGAGCUCAGAGAACAGAAUAAGGACCUGCAGACGAGGGUGAGGCAGCUGGAGUCCUGUGAGUGCCACCCUGCAUCUCCCCAGUGCUGGGGGCUGGGGCGUGCCUGGCCCGAGGGGGCACGCUGGGAGCCUGACGCCUGCACAGCCUGCGUCUGCCAGGAUGGGGCCGCUCACUGUGGCCCCCAAGCACACCUGCCCCAUUGCAGGGGCUGCAGCCAAAAUGGCCAGACCUACGGCAACGGGGAGACCUUCUCCCCAGAUGCCUGCACCACCUGCCGCUGUCUGGAAGGUACCAUCACUUGCAACCAGAAGCCAUGCCCAAGAGGACCCUGCCCUGAGCCAGGAGCAUGCUGCCCGCACUGUAAGCCAGGCUGUGAUUAUGAGGGGCAGCUUUAUGAGGAGGGGGUCACCUUCCUGUCCAGCUCCAACCCUUGUCUACAGUGCACCUGCCUGAGGAGCCGAGUUCGCUGCAUGGCCCUGAAGUGCCCGCCUAGCCCCUGCCCAGAGCCAGUGCUGAGGCCUGGGCACUGCUGCCCAACCUGCCAAGGCUGCACAGAAGGUGGCUCUCACUGGGAACAUGGCCAAGAGUGGACAACACCUGGGGACCCCUGCCGAAUCUGCCGGUGCCUGGAGGGUCACAUCCAGUGCCGCCAGCGAGAAUGUGCCAGCCUGUGUCCAUACCCAGCCCGGCCCCUCCCAGGCACCUGCUGCCCUGUGUGUGAUGAAUGGGAGUGUCCAGUGUGAGCCUCUGCCCUGCCCGCCAGUGCCCUGCAGACACCCAGGCAAGAUCCCUGGGCAGUGCUGCCC
rnacentral:lncRNA from 1 species